rnacentral:rRNA from 1 species
CAAGUCGAGCGCGAUCCCGGUUGGUACUUGUACCGGCCAUAUGAUCGAGCGGCGAACGGGUGAGUAACACGUGAGAAACUGUCCCGAAGACUGGGAUAACCCGGGGAAACCCGGGNUAUACCGGGAUGUCCCCACUAGGCCGCAUGGCUCUGUGAGGAAAUGCUCCGGCGCUUUGGGAGGGUCUCGCGGCCUAUCAGCUAGUUGGUGAGGUAAUGGCUCACCAAGGCAUCGACGGGUAGCUGUCUGAGAGGACGAUCAGCCACACUGGGACUGAGACACGGCCCAGACUCCUACGGGAGGCUGCAGUAGGGAAUCUUGCGCAAUGGACGAAAGUCUGACGCAGCAACGCCGCGUGGGGGAUGAAGGCUCUCGGGUUGUAAACCCCUUUCAGGAGGGACGAAAAUGACGGUACCUCCAGAAGAAGCCCCGGCCAACUACGUGCCAGCAGCCGCGGUAACACGUAGGGGGCAAGCGUUGUCCGGAUUUAUUGGGCGUAAAGAGCUCGUAGGUGGUUUGGUAAGUCGGGUGUGAAACCUCGAGGCUCAACCUCGAGACGCCACCCGAUACUGCCAUGACUGGAGUCCGGUAGAGGAGUGCGGAAUUCCUGGUGUAGCGGUGAAAUGCGCAGAUAUCAGGAGGAACACCAACGGCGAAGGCAGC